CGUCAAAGCGAGGGAGGUGGCGUAUUCGUUCAUUGAAGACGUCAACCACUUAAACAACAUGAAGGAAGAAGAAGAAUAUUGAGAUUUGAAAUUUGUCAAAAAAAUAAAAGAAUAUAGAGAAUUGAAAAUAGAGAAAGAUCGCUCAGUCCAUGUUCAACCAUUGACCAUUUUUAAUGAACCAAUCUUCCUGAUCCUCUUUCUCUUCUCUCACACCCUUUAGUCUCUCUCUGGAGGAGCAGCAGCAGAAGUCAUGGCCACCACUGUCGAAAUGGAUUCAGGGGAGAAGCGUCUCUAUGAGCUCGGCUACAAACAAGAGCUCAGAAGAAGAAUGACUCUCUUCAAAACGCUUGCCAUUUCAUUCUCAACGAUGACACUUUUCACAGGGAUUACACCCCUCUAUGGUUCCAGUCUCCUCUACGCUGGACCCGCCAGCCUUGUAUGGGGUUGGGUCGUGGUCUCUUUCUUCACCUUUUUUGUUGGGGUCGCCAUGGCUGAGAUCUGCUCCUCCUUUCCUACUACUGGUUCUUUGUACUUUUGGGCUGCUCAUUUAGCUGGACCGAAAUGGGGUCCAUUUGCAUCUUGGUGUUGUGCUUGGUUGGAGACCAUUGGCCUGAUUGCUGGAAUAGGGACACAGGCUUAUGCAGGCUCUCAAACAUUGCAGAGUAUUAUCUUAAUAUGCAGUGGCACAAACAAAAAUGGAGGUUAUUUUGCUCCUCGUGGGGUAUUCUUAUGUAUGUAUAUGGGGCUUACUAUUAUAUGGGCAAUACUUAAUACCUUUGCUUUGGAUGUCAUUGCCUUCCUCGACAUUAUUUCCAUGUGGUGGCAGGUUAUUGGAGGCUCGGUUAUUGUCAUAAUGCUUCCUCUAGUAGCAAAUACUACUCAGACUGCUUCCUAUGUAUUCACAUAUUUUAAGACAUCACCAGAGUCAACUGGAAUAAGAAGCAAACCAUAUGCUGUCAUUCUAUCUUUUCUUGUCAGUCAAUACUCCCUUUAUGGCUAUGAUGCAGCUGCACAUCUCACUGAGGAAACAAUAGGUGCAGACAGAAAUGGUCCAAUAGCAAUUCUUUCCAGUAUUGCGAUGAUCUCAGUGUUUGGGUGGGCAUAUAUUUUAGCUCUUACCUUUAGUAUUCAGGACCCCAGCUACUUGUAUGAUACAGCCAAUGAAACAGCUGGUGCAUUUGUACCAGCACAAAUAUUAUAUGAUGCAUUUUAUGGGAGAUUUCAUAAUUCAAGUGGGGCCAUAGUGUUAUUGUUCGUGAUCUGGGGUUCGUUUUUCUUUGGCGGCCUUUCAAUCACGACCAGUGCAGCCCGAGUGGUCUACGCUCUCUCUAGGGAUGGUGGAAUUCCAUUAUCUUCUGUGUGGCGCAGGUUACACCCAAAAUACAAGGUCCCGACUAACGCAGUUUGGUUAUGUGCGGCCUUCUGCAUAUUGCUUGGACUUCCAAUAUUGAAAGUUAAUGUGGUCUUCACUGCCAUAACUUCUAUUUGUACAAUUGGUUGGGUUGGGGGUUAUGCUAUUCCCAUCUUUGCCAGGAUGGUCAUGGAAGAAAAAAAUUUCAAAGCUGGUCCCUUUUAUUUGGGCCGUGCAAGGAGGCCCGUUUGCUUGAUAGCAUUCCUUUGGAUCUGCUACACAUGCUCAAUUUUCUUGUUACCGACUUUGUAUCCUCUCAAGUGGGACAAUUUCAACUAUGCACCAAUUGCUUUGGGUGUGGUUUUGGGGAUCGUACUGCUUUGGUGGUUGUUGGAUGCAAGAAAAUGGUUCAAGGGACCCGUCAGGAAUGUUGAAAUCCAGAACGGAAAAGUUCUGGAUUUGUAAUUGACACAAAGCUGCUUCUACUGAUUGAGAAAGGACUAUUCCCUUUCUAGCUGGGUGGCAUUUACAAUAUCUUGACCUGUAUUGCAAUUGGGUAUUGAACUUGGGACUUUAAGAUGGGAGACCUCGCUUUCCAAAUUCCG